GCACGUAGAGCAGCUAGGUGGGCUCCGGAGUUGCAGGUGCUGCGGCUCCGCAGCUGCUCCGGCUCCGGGACUCUUAGAGUCCCUUCGCGUGCCUUCUAUUGAAGAGCAGGAACUGACGGUUGUUUUAGGCCUCUCAAUUCCAGAAAGUUUCCUGGGGACCUGUCCGGUCGGAAAGUCGAGGGGCAGUUGUCUUGUAUUUGAAAAGGGGGUAUCCAGUGAGGCGGAGCUUGAGGGGGGUUGUGUCGAGUGAUUGAUACAGCUGUCAACCAAUAAGGCUACUAUCGCUCUCCUCAGGAAAAUCAUCACAACUCCAGCUGGAUGUGCGCAUAAUAGUGUAAUCACUCAUGAUUCUAUUUUGUUUAAUAAUUCGUUCUUGAGACUAGACGUCUCGAAAGCGAAGACUGGCACUCCUCAGUCUGCCACGGACGGCUCGCAGGCCGAUACUGAACAGAAGUACCCUUAUCAAGGAGGCGUCACCCCUGGGCAAGCCUAGCAUCAGUCCAUUGACACCCACAGUCACCAUGAUAGACGUUCUCCCAGACCAACAGCUUUCUUUGGUUCGAGGCGGGUCUUACGUGAAGGGCCUAUGGGAUCUACGCCGGCUCAGCCAAUAGGGUCAGGGCAGGGGGCGUGGCGGGAAGUUUGAAACUCGUAACUUCGGGAGUUGAGCCACGAGCUGUUGUGCAUCCAGAGGUGGAAUUGGGGCCACGCAUUCCCUCCUCGUCCCGGGCUGGCCCUUGCCCCCACCCUGCAACUCCUGGUUGAGAUGGGCUCAGCCAAGAGCGUCCCAGUCACACCAGCGCGGCCUCCGCCGCACAACAAACAUCUGGCUCGAGUGGCGGACCCCCGUUCACCUAGUGCUGGCAUCGUGCGCACUCCCAUCCAGGUGGAGAGCUCUCCACAGCCAGGCCUACCAGCAGGGGAGCAACUGGAGGGUCUUAAACAUGCCCAGGACUCAGAUCCCCGCUCUCCUACUCUUGGUAUUGCACGGACACCUAUGAAGACCAGCAGUGGAGACCCCCCAAGCCCACUGGUGAAACAGCUGAGUGAAGUAUUUGAAACUGAAGACUCUAAAUCAAAUCUUCCCCCAGAGCCUGUUCUGCCCCCAGAGGCACCUUUAUCUUCUGAAUUGGACUUGCCUCUGGGUACCCAGUUAUCUGUUGAGGAACAGAUGCCACCUUGGAACCAGACUGAGUUCCCCUCCAAACAGGUGUUUUCCAAGGAGGAAGCAAAACAGCCCACAGAAACCCCUGUGGCCAGCCAGAGCUCCGACAAGCCCUCAAGGGACCCUGAGACUCCCAGAUCUUCAGAUGGAAGCCAAACAGCAGCAAGGUACUAGGGAGAUCCCCCCUCACCAUCCUGCAGGAUGACAACUCCCCUGGCACCCUAACACUACGACAGGGUAAGCGGCCUUCACCCCUAAGUGAAAAUGUUAGUGAACUAAAGGAAGGAGCCAUUCUUGGAACUGGACGACUUCUGAAAACUGGAGGACGAGCAUGGGAGCCAGGCCAGGACCAUGACAAGGAAAAUCAGCACUUUCCCUUGGUGGAGAGCUAGGCCCUGCAUGGCCCCAGCAACGCAGUCACCCAGGGCCUGGUGGUAUCUGUGUCCUCUCAGCCCUUCUUUCCCAGGGAUCCUGAGGAAAGGCUUGUUUCCUUAGACUCCUCAACUACCAAACUGGGACUCAGCUUUAUGGGGCUUUCUUUGUGUCUUGUGUGUUUCUUUUAUAUUAAAGGAAGUAAUUUUAAAUGUUACUUUAAAAAAGUAUAUGUAAACCUUGCACCGAG